GGCGGGGGGGCGGCGGCGAGAAGCCCUCCCCUCUGCCCGGCGCCCCCCCCCGGCUGCGCCGCCCGCCCGGCGCCCCCCGCCGCCCGGCAGCAGCGCCUCCGACCCGCCACCCAUCGCUGGAUGUUCCUCCACUUUACCCACCGUAUCAAACAACUUUUACCAGUAAAUAUCGGUUUAUUCCUGAAACCAGAAGCCCUAAACAUACCUUUGUUUAUAAGCAGUUUGCAUCCGUGCAGCCAGGGCUCGGGUGGAAAUCCAGCCACUACGAGGAGUCUCUCCAGUCCCGGCGAGAGGCGAGAUGCCUGGCGGUGCUGCCACGGUCCUGCCAUCCCUGGCACCGACUGCAGUCGGAGCUCGUGCACUGGUGUACCAAGCCUCAGAACCACUGCUUUCUCCAGCUCAUAGGAUGCUUUUCCGAGACUGUGGAUACGUGUUUGUGUACUGCUGUGUUGAUAAGUAAAUGCCAACGAUGGAGUUCGUUGCUUUUAUACAUCCCAAAGAGAAGUUCUCCACCGUUCAUUUUCUGUUUUCUGACCGAAAAGGCGUGUGUUUGUGAACAGUGUUCACGCAAGUUCUGCCAUCCCACUCUCACAUCAGCUUAUACCAAUGCCAGGAUGGGAGGAUUUGCCUGCGUACCUUCCCCAAAACACCCCGGUCCGCAGUGGCAUCGUCAGGGAGCAGUUCAAAUGUGUGUCCUUUGGGCUUUGUGUAAAGCAAACGCAGAACAAGAAAAAUCAAGAUGUUAAAUCCAUUAGAAAACAAAUUCCUUAUUGUACAGUAGUAUGGAGAUCUCUAGUCAACCUGCCAUUAAUAAUAGAUUCUUAUUUUUUGAAUGAUCUAUUUAAAAGAACAGCAAGCAUUGUAUUUGCUAGUAAAUCUGAAGUGUUUACAUGGAAUUACUAAAUAAAUUAUUUGAUCUAAGAUGGCUCUCAUCAGUGCUGAUUUUUAAUGCUGGAAAUUAAUUUUGGCAGCUGCUUUUUUAGUUCGUGCUGUUCUUUAAAAUCUUCCAAAGCAGAUUUUUUCAAUGCAUCCUUGUGUUUUAAAUUAGGUUCUGAGGAAGACGCAAAGCAUGCCUCUCCCUGCAAGAUCUGACAGGAGUGCUAGCUAAUGUUUUC
rnacentral:lncRNA from 1 species